rnacentral:rRNA from 1 species
GUGGGGAAUCUUGCGCAAUGGGCGAAAGCCUGACGCAGCCAUGCCGCGUGAAUGAUGAAGGUCUUAGGAUUGUAAAAUUCUUUCACCGGGGACGAUAAUGACGGUACCCGGAGAAGAAGCCCCGGCUAACUUCGUGCCAGCAGCCGCGGUAAUACGAAGGGGGCUAGCGUUGCUCGGAAUUACUGGGCGUAAAGGGCGCGUAGGCGGAUCGUUAAGUCAGGGGUGAAGUCCCAGAGCUCAACACUGGAACUGCCCUUGAUACUGGCGAUCUUGAGUGUGAGAGAGGUAUGUGGAACUCCGAGUGUAGAGGUGAAAUUCGUAGAUAUUCGGAAGAACACCAGUGGCGAAGGCGACAUACUGGCUCAUUACUGACGCUGAGGCGCGAAAGCGUGGGGAGCAAACAGGAUUAGAAACCCUGGUAGUCC